AGCAGCCGCGGUAAUUCCAGCUCCAAUAGCGUAUAUUAAAGUUGUUGCAGUUAAAAAGCUCGUAGUUGAAUUUCGGGAUCAAUUUAUUGGUCGUGCUAUUGUACGUACUGGUAUUAUUGAUUCCUACCUUCUGACGAACCAUGAUGUCAUUAAUUUGGUGUCAUGGGGAAUCAGGACUGUUACUUUGAAAAAAUUAGAGUGUUUAAAGCAGGCUCACGCUUGAAUACAUUAGCAUGGAAUAACGAAAUAGGACGUUUGAUUCUAUUUUGUUGGUUUCUAGGAUCGACGUAAUGAUUAAUAGGGAUAGUUGGGGGCAUUAGUAUUCAAUUGUCAGAGGUGAAAUUCUUGGAUUUAUUGAAGACUAACUACUGCGAAAGCAUUUGCCAAGGAUGUUUUCAUUAAUCAAGAACGAAAGUUAGGGGAUCGAAGACGAUCAGAUACCGUCGUAGUCUUAACCAUAA
rnacentral:rRNA from 1 species